AGAGUUUGAUUCUGGCUCAGGACGAACGCUGGCGGCGUGCUUAACACAUGCAAGUCGAACGAUGAAGCCUAGCUUGCUAGGUGGAUUAGUGGCGAACGGGUGAGUAAUACGUGAGUGACCUACCUUUGACUCUGGGAUAAGCCUGGGAAACUGGGUCUAAUACCGGAUACGACCAAUCUCCGCAUGGGGUGUUGGUGGAAAGCGUUAUGGAGUGGUUUUAGAUGGGCUCACGGCCUAUCAGCUUGUUGGUGAGGUAAUGGCUUACCAAGGCGACGACGGGUAGCCGGCCUGAGAGGGUGACCGGCCACACUGGGACUGAGACACGGCCCAGACUCCUACGGGAGGCAGCAGUGGGGAAUAUUGCACAAUGGGCGCAAGCCUGAUGCAGCGACGCCGCGUGAGGGAUGGAGGCCUUCGGGUUGUAAACCUCUUUCGCCAGUGAAGCAGGCCUGUCCCUUUUGUGGGUGGGUUGACGGUAGCUGGAUAAGAAGCGCCGGCUAACUACGUGCCAGCAGCCGCGGUAAUACGUAGGGCGCGAGCGUUGUCCGGAAUUAUUGGGCGUAAAGAGCUUGUAGGCGGUUGGUCGCGUCUGCUGUGAAAGGCUGGGGCUUAACCCUGGUUUUGCAGUGGGUACGGGCUAACUAGAGUGCAGUAGGGGAGACUGGAAUUCCUGGUGUAGCGGUGGAAUGCGCAGAUAUCAGGAGGAACACCGAUGGCGAAGGCAGGUCUCUGGGCUGUAACUGACGCUGAGAAGCGAAAGCAUGGGGAGCGAACAGGAUUAGAUACCCUGGUAGUCCAUGCCGUAAACGUUGGGCACUAGGUGUGGGGGACAUUCCACGUUUUCCGCGCCGUAGCUAACGCAUUAAGUGCCCCGCCUGGGGAGUACGGCCGCA
rnacentral:rRNA from 1 species